rnacentral:rRNA from 1 species
CCUACGGGUGGCAGCAGUGAGGAAUAUUGGUCAAUGGACGCAACUCUGAACCAGCCAUGCCGCGUGCAUGAAGACGGCUCUAUGAGUUGUAAACUCCUUUUUUACGAGGGUAAACGCAGAUACUUCUUUCUGUCUGAAAGUAUCCUACGAAUAUGGAUCGGCUAACUCCGUGCCAUCAGCGGCGGUAAUACGGAGGAUUCAAGCGUUAUCCGGAUUUAUUGGGUUUAAAGGGUGCGUAGGCGGUCGGAUAAGUUAGAGGUGAAAUCCCGAGGCUCAACUUCGGAAUUGCCUGUGAUACUGUUGGACUAGAGAGUAGUUGCGGUAGGCGGAAGGUAUGGUGUAGCGGUGAAAUGCUUAGAGAUCAUACAGAACACCAAUUGCGAAGGCAGCUUACGAAGCUACUUCUGACGUUGAGGCACGAAAGCGUGGGGAGCAAACAGGAUUAGAUACCCGGGUAGUC